rnacentral:rRNA from 1 species
CGUAGGGUCCAAGCGUUAAUCGGAAUUACUGGGCGUAAAGCGUGCGCAGGCGGCUUCGCAAGUCAGACGUGAAAUCCCCGGGCUUAACCUGGGAAUGGCGUUUGAAACUACGGAGCUGGAGUGUGGCAGAGGGAGGUAGAAUUCCACGUGUAGCGGUGAAAUGCGUAGAUAUGUGGAGGAAUACCGAUGGCGAAGGCAGCCUCCUGGGCCAACACUGACGCUCAUGCACGAAAGCGUGGGGAGCAAACAGGAUUAGAUACCCUGGUAGUCCACGCCCUAAACUAUGUCAACUAGUUGUUGGGGGAGUUAAAUCCCUUAGUAACGCAGCUAACGCGUGAAGUUGACCGCCUGGGGAGUACGGUCGCAAGAUUA